AAAUGUCUCACCUGUGGCUAAAUCAGCCAUCUCAUUUCAAGUUUUAGCCCUUAUAAUAGCCCAGAGGUAUUUUCAGUGCAAUCUGAAAUUACCUGCAACACUCCAUUUGUAGUGUACCUCUUAAUUUGCCCGUGUGAUUGGCAGUAUGUGGGCCAAACCACCAGGCCCUUGAAAUGCAGGUUUCGAGAACAUAGAACGGCUAUAAUUCGC